GGAAAUGUUGAUGUCUUUUCUAAAAAAAUAGAGACAGGGUCUUUCUCUGUUGCCUAGGCUGGAGUGCAGUGUCAUGAUCAUAGCUCACUGUAAUCUCAAGCUCCUGGGCUCAAGCGAUCCUCCUGCCUCCCCCGCCUGAGUAGCUGGGACUGCAGGCAUGCUCCACCAUGUCCAGGUAAUUUUUAAAAAAUGUUUAUAGAGACAGGGG
rnacentral:lncRNA from 1 species